rnacentral:rRNA from 1 species
CCUACGGGAGGCAGCAGUAGGGAAUCUUCCGCAAUGGACGAAAGUCUGACGGAGCAACGCCGCGUGAACGAUGAAGGCCUUCGGGUCGUAAAGUUCUGUUGUUAGGGAAGAACAAGUGCUAGUUAAAUAAGCUGGCACCUUGACGGUACCUAACCAGAAAGCCACGGCUAACUACGUGCCAGCAGCCGCGGUAAUACGUAGGUGGCAAGCGUUGUCCGGAAUUAUUGGGCGUAAAGCGCGCGCAGGCGGUUUCUUAAGUCUGAUGUGAAAGCCCCCGGCUCAACCGGGGAGGGUCAUUGGAAACUGGGAAACUUGAGUGCAGAAGAGGAAAGUGGAAUUCCAAGUGUAGCGGUGAAAUGCGUAGAGAUUUGGAGGAACACCAGUGGCGAAGGCGACUUUCUGGUCUGUAACUGACGCUGAGGCGCGAAAGCGUGGGGAGCAAACAGGAUUAGAUACCCUGGUAGUCCACGCUGUAAACGAUGAGUGCUAAGUGUUAGAGGGUUUCCGCCUUUAGUGCUGAAGUUAACGCAUUAAGCACUCCGCCUGGGGAGUCGGUCGCAAGCUGAAACUUAAGGAUUGACGGNUGAGAGNGCGAGCGCACGAGGAGAG